GGAAGGAUGCUCUGCAUCGCUCCUGCUAGCAGGAGCUUCACUGGCGUGAUUACGGCUCCAGGGCUUCGGAAUCCAGUGUUGUUUAUUUUUAUUUUAAUUUGGGUGGGGGGGCUCCAGUUUACUCAUGGUUUC